rnacentral:lncRNA from 10 species
CGAGACGCGUCGCCAAGUCAAGAUACCCCGGAGCUCAGUUCGUUCCUCAGCCUGAGCGGUGCCCACGAUGAUGGAAGACUUUGCAAGACCCCUCCUGGGUCGUUUCGAACCGAGCUGCCCUAGAGCUGUCGGGUAGGUGAGGGGGAGACAGGUGCACGAGCUGACCUCGUAGGUGACCGAAGAAGGGGAGGGAAGCAGGCCCGAUGGAGCCGACCUGUACCCGACGCAACCCGCUGUGGGCCGAAACGGGAGCUAAGCCAGAUGGAACAAACGACCCCCAACCCGAGCCCGGCGGGGCGAACAGGACAUCCCGCGUUGUUCCACCUGCCAAAGAGGGCGAGCGCGCGGGCCGAUCGGAGCAGAGCGAGAGGGCGGGGCCAAGCGGAGCGGAUGGGGCCAAGUGGACGAGCCGAGGGAGUGGGGCGCAGCCGAAAGUAGCCGAGUGAAGCCGAACAGAGACGAGGCGCGGGUCGGGUGGUGCCAAGCGGAAAUGAGUGGGGCCGAGCGGGGCAGGGUGGAGCCGAGCGGAGCCGGGUGGAGCCGAGCGGAGCCGAGCGAGUGAGAAGCCGGAGGCCGAGAGGGCCGGGCCGACUUGAAGAGUUUUGGACAAAGAUGAAGAAACAAAUCUAGAGACUGGAUGACCUUGGAUCUCAGACAUUCACUAUGUGCUUAUUUUCCCCAUAAGAUGAAUAAAAACAACAAACCUUCCAGUUUCAUAGCCAUAAGAAAUGCUGCUUUCUCUGAAGUCGGCAUUGGGAUCUCUGCCAAUGCCAUGCUCCUUCUCUUCC